UGGGGAAUAUUGGGCAAUGGGGGAAACCCUGACCCAGCAACGCCGCGUGAGGGAAGAAGGUUUUCGGAUUGUAAACCUCUGUCCUUGGUGAAGAAAGAGAUGACGGUAGCCAAGGAGGAAGCCCCGGCUAACUACGUGCCAGCAGCCGCGGUAAUACGUAGGGGGCAAGCGUUAUCCGGAUUUACUGGGUGUAAAGGGAGCGUAGGUGGUUCGGUAAGUCAGAUGUGAAAGCCCGGGGCUCAACCCCGGGACUGCAUUUGAAACUAUCGAACUAGAGUGCAGGAGAGGUAAGUGGAAUUCCUAGUGUAGCGGUGAAAUGCGUAGAUAUUAGGAGGAACACCAGUGGCGAAGGCGGCUUACUGGACUGUAACUGACACUGAGGCUCGAAAGCGUGGGGAGCAAACAGG
rnacentral:rRNA from 1 species